GCCAGAGACCCAGCUGCGGGACAGAUGUGUCUGGCAGGGGAGUGUCCCCCAGGCUGUGGCACAUGCUCUGCUUUCAGCGGCAGCAGCCAGGUGUGGGUGGACUGUGGGAGGGACACCAGUGUGACACUCUUCCUCGGUGUUCCCAGGAGGGUGGCUUUUAGACAAUCAAGAAUGGAACACAGCGAUACGUGAACCUGCCUGGUGUUCUAGAACACCCCAGCAGGAGUUUCUGGGUGAGGCAGGAACACCUUUCUAUUCUCCCUUGUGCCCUCUGCACCACCCAAGGUCCUCACCCACCAGCUAGCCCAUCACCCCUCGUCACCCCGGCAACAUGGUACCAAGGACUCUGGGACAGCCACCAUACCCCCAGCAGGCCGGGCCUCUCCUGCUCACAUGCCAGGGUGAGGACACAGAGACCCAGCGUCCCGACCCAGAGUCCCAGCUGAUGCUGAGCCAGGGCCAGCACUGUGUCUUGCUCAGUGGCCAGGCGCCUGAGAUCAGGCACAGCCAGUGACCUGGCUCUGCCUCCAGGACCAUCCUCAUUGGCCCCCCCAGGGCCACCCCGAAGAACCCGUUGUGUGACCUCAGUGUUGGCUCUGGGGAAACAUCACAGGACAAUCAAGGAGGGGCUGCCAAGGGCUCUGUGGGGCUCCCCUGGCCCACGAGGUCACCUCCCAUCUCGUGUCUCAGGUAUGACCAUAUCCAGCUGGGAAGACCCCAGGCCAGAGAAGUUCGAAGAAGGCCAGAUUAGUCAGGUGUGGUGGCGCAUGCCUGCAAAUCCCAGGACUCUGGGAGGCUGAGGCAGGAGGACUGAAAGUUGGAGCCCACCCUCAGGUAAUUAAGCAACUUACUGAGACCCUGUCUUAAAAAAACAAACAAAAAACACAAAGGGCUGGAAAUGUAGCUCAGUGCAAAGGCCCUGGGUUCCAUCCUCAGCAACCAAAGGGGGGCAGUAAUUCCAGCACAGGCAGACCUAGACCUGUAGUUACCUCAGCACCCAGCACAGUAAUUACCAGCCCCUGGCUCUGUCUGCCUUAACAACCCCCGCCCCCCCCCUCCGCCGCCCAGCUCAAACACCUCUGGCUUCAGUCCCGGCCUCCUCUGAGCCCAGGGCAUCUUGGGCUCCCUGCGUGCUCUCCCAGCCCCAGCCCACAUCUGUCUGGAGGACAGAUGCUGCCUACCCUCAGCCCCAGGCACUCAGCUGCUGACCUGCUGGGCAGCAGGAACCUGUACCCUCACCCACCCAUCCUGGGCACAACACACCCCCUGCACCGUGCGGGCAGGUAGAGUCCUGAGGCAGUGGGGCACAGGGUGGGGGCCC
rnacentral:lncRNA from 1 species